AUUGAACGCUGGCGGCAGGCCUAACACAUGCAAGUCGAACGGUAACAGGAAGAAGCUCGCUUCUUUGCUGACGAGUGGCGGACGGGUGAGUAAUGUCUGGGAAACUGCCUGAUGGAGGGGGAUAACGACUGGAAACGGUAGCUAAUACCGCAUAACGUCGCAAGACCAAAGAGGGGGACCUUCGGGCCUCUUGCCAUCGGAUGUGCCCAGAUGGGAUUAGCUAGUAGGUGGGGUAACGGCUCACCUAGGCGACGAUCCCUAGCUGGUCUGAGAGGAUGACCAGCCACACUGGAACUGAGACACGGUCCAGACUCCUACGGGAGGCAGCAGUGGGGAAUAUUGCACAAUGGGCGCAAGCCUGAUGCAGCCAUGCCGCGUGUAUGAAGAAGGCCUUCGGGUUGUAAAGUACUUUCAGCGGGGAGGAAGGGAGUAAAGUUAAUACCUUUGCUCAUUGACGUACCCGCAGAA
rnacentral:rRNA from 1 species